rnacentral:sRNA from 1 species
UUUUAAAUUUAUUUUUCAUAAAUGGGCUGUUUUUCCCAGUUUACUAAGGAAGGAACGGAACCCUUUGCUUCUACACCACAACGUUGUUGCUUUACCAUGUACAUAUUGAAGGAAGAGCAAAGGAAGAAGGAUAUUCAACAAAGACUGGAUGAGGAAGAAGCAGAGUUGGACUGGGAGGAAAAUGAUAGCGAAUGAAGAGUCAGACUUUGAAGGGGAUGGAGGAGGAAGCAGAAGGAAAUUAGGCAGCCAGGCAAGACCACGAGAGUCGAUGGCUGAAGUAAAGAGAGAAAGUCAGGAUUAGCUGAUAAAGUUGGGGAAGUAACAAAUAAUUCGGUGAAGAAAACGAAUAAUCUAACAUAAAUAAAACUAGAGAAGAAUGCAAAAACGAGCAGGUGAAAAAUGUAAAUAGGAGAGGGUGGAAAAUGAGAUAAAUAAUAAUAAGGGGCGACUGUCUGAUUAAGAAGGGAAGAACAAGCAGUGGAUACAGAGCACAAAAAGGGGAAGAAGAACUGGAGGGGGAUCAUUGAGAAGGAUCUGCGGGCUCUAAUUAUUGGAAGUAUUGAUCAUUGGAGCAGUGAAGAAAGAUAAAAAAAAGGAAGGCCAAUUGGCAUAAGAAGAAGAUAAGGAGUCAGCAAAAAAAGCAAGCAAGGAGUAUGAUCGGCAGGGCGGAAUUGCCGUGAAGGAGUAAGGUGGAGGAAGCGAGGAACAGGAGCAGCGAAAAAGGAGCAAGGGAGUAAUCUAGGAAGAAGGAGAAUUGGAAAUGGCCUCAUGCUUUUACUGGACUGAAAAAGAAAACAGAAAAAGGAAGCAGGGGAAAUACAUUGUAUGUAACAGUGUAGAAGCAUCUGUCAAAAGACAAGUACGAACCGAACAAAGAAGAAGAUGGAAGAAUGAAAAGCCCGAACCGAGCCGAACACCCCGUAUCCCCAUCAGAAUAACCAUUACAUAGGAAUCGAAGCGAACGACACGAAGUUGGGAGCACGAACACGAAGA